rnacentral:rRNA from 1 species
CUGUUCAGACUAGCCAUGCACGUCUAGUACAAACUAAAUGAUGGUGAAACUGCAAAUGGCUCAUUACAACGGUUAUGAUGUACCCGGGAGUUCCGAUGGAUAUUUCCAGUAACACUAGAACUAAUACAUGUCCCUGCGUUUAUUAGUUUCGCACAGUCCGUCGCUGAGUCAUGGUAAACAGUUGAUCGACUCGACGUCCCGGAACAGUUUCCGCCCCAUCAGCUUCGAUGGUUGGGUAUUGGCCUACCAUUGCAACAACGGGUAACGAGGAAUUAGGGUUUGAUUUCGGAGAGGGAGCCUGAGAAACGGCUACCACAUCUACGGAUGGCAGCAGGCGCGCAAAUUACCCAAUGCAGACACUGUGAGGUAGUGACGAGAAAUAAUAAAGCGGGACUUCUGUCUCGCUAUUAUAAUGAGGAAUAACCAAAGGUCAUUCCGAUUAGCAACUGAUGGGAAAGUCUGGUGCCAGCAGCCGCGGUAAUACCAGCGUCAGUAGCAUA